AGACCUAUGAAGGUCGAAGGGGAAGAAAAGCUGUAUCGAUUGUUGAGAUCUGGCGACUUGUUUAAAUUUCAUCAGCCUCACUUCUAUGAACUCUCAGAGCUGAUUACCAACUCCUACCACUGUUAACCCUCAUCCAGGAACAAGCUUAUGUCUUUAACAUUCUGAGUGGGCUUCAGCAUCCUUGCAUAUGUUCAAUUCUUAAAAACCUGUUGAAAUAAAAGAUCAGGAGACAUAGGAAGGAUGCCAGAAGAGAGCGUGGCCUCACGUGUACCAGCUCUCUGCUCUCCUUUGCCUUGGGACGUUCCAUCCCUGGAAGUUUCCCUGCCCACAUCUUUGUAGAGAGUCCAUUCUCCAAGCUUCAGUGUGUCAUCUGUGAGGACCGUGACCCACCUGGUACAUCGCCUCAGGGCAUUCAUUUCAGGCUCCUUCUAAAUGGCCAAGUUUUCAAGAUUGUUUUGGCUCUAGCAAAACAAGUUGGAACAUUCACAUCAUCCAAGCUGCAGCAAGCUGUUCGUCAGAGUCAUCUUUGGUGACUAUCUGCCUACAGGCAUUCCUUUGCACUCUGGGUGUAGCCCUCAGUGCUGGGCUUACAAAGAAGACGACACAAAAGCAACCAUGAAAAGAUCUUGGAAGCAGAGGGAUCUGCAGAAGUGCUUGCAACACUUUCAGCCUUAACCAGCAUCAGAGACAAAAAUCCUUUCUGGAAUGAGGUAAACCUCAGGUUCUCCUCCUGCCUUUUGCUAAGUAUAUGUCUUGAUGACAAGCCUUCUGCUGAUGAGCUGUGUUUCUGGACCGAUCAUGGUAGAAGUCAAUUAACGUGUCCCUCACUUGGGGUUUCUCAAGGCUGCACUGAUGAGGAAACUGAAACAGAAAAUCCAGAGUAAAUUCCACCAGGCCACACAGCAAGGUCUGAUAGAGCCAGGAGAGACUUUAUGAAAUCCAGACUCUCACACUAAUGCUCUAUCAGCUAGACCUCCAUGUGAGUCUCCCCAAUGUAGGUAGGAAGUGCUUUCCCUAAAAUGCUCAUAAAGCAAAUCAGAGCAAUGCUGCAUUCCAUGUGAUUUCUAAUUUGAAAUGCAAACAAUUGCCAAUUUGUUUGACUUGUAUUUAUAAUUAUUUCCUUGUGAAUUACUCAUCACUAAAUGCUUUAUAAAUAUUUUCUCUUUUUUUCCUCAAUGUCUAUGGAAUGAUCACAGCAUAGAAAAUGUUGGCUUUCAAGGAUUUAUUAAUAUCUCCUUUUGAAAUAACAUGUAUUUGUAAGACAGAAUAAAAUCACUUUAAAGAAACAAA
rnacentral:lncRNA from 1 species